UAUAUAAAGCAUGGAUUCCAGUUUUGUUUUUUUGCUUUUUUUUAGUUACUUCCUUGGUAAGAGAUAAUCAUGUAAUUAUGUGAGACUAUCCCUCUAACCUGCAAAUGUUAAAAGCUCUUUUCACUUACCUCCAUGUCGCUUGUUCUUUCUUCCCUGUCAGCAUCCUCCUGUACAGUCUCGGUCUCUUCGCCUUGAACCCGCCACAGCAAACAUGACAAGCCCCCAGUCCUCCCUGUCUCUCCCUCAUUUUGCCCUGAAGCCACAGAGCAAACAUGGUGGUCGGGGUCAUGGGACUGGAGCCUAUCCCAUAACUCAUUUGGCGAGAGGAAGGAAUACACCCUGAGACAGGUUGCCAAUCCAUUGCAGGGCAAACACACACACCAUUCAUUCACACACUCAUUCCUACAGGCAAUUUAGAGUCUCCAACUAGCUUAACCUUCAUGUCUUUGGACUGUGGAAAGAAACCAGACUACCCAGAGGAAACCCAUGUGGACAUUGGAGGGAACAUGCAGAUUUAAACCUGAAACUGUCUUGCUGUUCACAGUGCUAUCCACUGCAAUACUGUGCUGGACUAACUUUGUUAUUAUUGCACAAAUAUAAUUGCAUUCAAAUCAUAUCAAACAACUCAUUUUCAAAUGUAUCCCUCUAGGCUAUUCAACAGGCUGGCAUAAUUAUUAGUCAACAAUUGUGUGUGCACUACAGGGACAUAUCUGUGCUAAUCAAUAAAAAGAUCCUUGAAAGACAAUUUACCUAUAAUACACAUAUUGCUGGUGAACAGGUGCCUAUAGCUAACAAUGAAGAAAAACAAAAAAUCUAAUAAACAAUUCAUUAACAAUAUUCUUGCAGCACACUUCCAAAUGAAACGGCUAAAAUAGUCCUAUUACACAUUGAACGUCCACUUGAGGUUCUUCGGCUACAUGAAAAUGCUUAAUCACCGAGUGUCAAAUUAUCCCACGGUACUUUUUGCGUUUGAUUUGGAGAUAGCUACCUAGCUACCUACAAACUAGUAGCCGUUGCUUGAAUGCUGGAAGUUCCAGCAUUAAUUAAACUAAAUUAUAUUGUCUCGCUAACGUGCAUACUGCAGCCUACCAUAGAUAUACGUGUACUCCGUACUGGAACGUUCACAGCUGGUUAAAGGCUACCUAACUUUACAAGGAUGUAAACCACUAUAUUUAACUUUAGUUAAAUAAUUUCGCGAACAUGAAUGUCUCAAAAUUACCUUAUCACAAACAUUGUGUUCUUGAAGAAAAAAAAAAGGUUCUCCACACAACUACAGUUUAUCAGACAGAGAAAAGGGCGCGCUUUACACUUCCGUGCCUGAUUUGUAACAACAAACUAGUGCAUUAAUGAAAGAUUUUCGAUGCUAAUAACUAGGAAGGAAAGAAUCGACUCUUGCGGGAAAAAAAUCUUGCAAGAAUUAACUUUAUGUUAAAUGUAGAAAUACGCAUGAUAGCCUGCAUAAAACUGACAAGGUGUACGUUCGGGUUGCAAAAACUCGCACUGCUGUUGCAAACGUGCAUUGACUUUCCAGAAAUUUAAAAAAACGGAAGCUGUAGCGGCCGACUGUGACGUCAGAUCCGUUGCUCAGAUUUUGAUCGUUCCAUCAGUGGUAAUCGCUGGGAAAGGUAUCCUUAUAAAAAUGUAAAUAUCAAAAGUAACACAAUCCCAUACUAGGCGAAGCUACUAGCCAAAUUUGCUUGGUCUAUCUCAAAAGCUGUUGGAGCAGUAAAGUACAAUUGAUGUGGAAUUCUAAGAAAUUGCAUUGGUAAAUGGACUGCAUUUAUAUAGCGCUUUUAUCCAAAGCGCUUUACAAUUGAUGCCUCUCAUUUGCAAGAGCAGUUAGGGGUUAGGUGUCUUGCUCAAGGACACUUCAACAUGCCCAGGAUGGGGUUUGAACCGGCAACCCUCCGACUGCCAGACAAUCGGUCUUACCUCCUGAGCUAUGUCGCCCCUUUUCAAGCUAACUUAAUCAUCAGUAGGCCUACAUAAGGAUUAUUUCAGACGGCAAUCAUCAAAUGACUGCCAGAAUUACUGGCCAAAAAUAUGGUUACGGCCUUGCUAUAUGAGUUCAAACUGCAUACAUGACUAUAUAUAUAACUGGCAUGUACAAUUCACUUCACUAACAACGGAAAUGCUAGAACAUUGAAGAACACUAUACAUAUAAACCACAUAUUCUGCUACGUAGGCUAUGCAGUUUAGUGAUUUGUUCUGCAUCACCAUGAAAAUGUGCUGAAUACUGACAAGUACAUGUACUGCACAGUUUCCACUCAGCACCCUCUACUGAUAGAAAGAUAGUUCUCCACAUUGCUUAAGUGCGUCAAUCAAUAGCUAGAUUUCAAAACCACUCCAGCACAAAAUGUAGGAAUGUCUUUCCAAGGAGAUGUUAAAACACUCUAAUUUUGUGUCAUGUGUCACCUUUUAUAUGUACUUUAUAGCCUGCUCAUGGUAAGUGUGUCAGCUAAAUGGUUAAACAAGCUUUACUCACAUGCACCACUUAUGAAAAUUGCAGGGGCAUCCCAAGUCUCCCAUGCAGCUGAAUUAAAAUCUCAUUUUUUAAAAGUUGAAAUUCUAUACAUUUUUUUUUUCUGCAAAUUGACAGUGCUGGCUAAAUAACUGUUACAUAACAAAGCAAAAAAAGUUGAUAAACAUCAUUAUUGUUUUUCAUCAAGGGGGAGUAAUCAGCAAGUGGCAUUCUAUACGUUCUGUAAGUAUGUGAUAUAUAUUAUAGUGUAUACAUGUAGUAUAUAUUUCAUAAACUGGUCCAAGCAUACAGUUAAGAGGACAGAGGACAACACACACCACUGCAUAUACAUAUGCGCACAGGUGCAUCUGUAUACUAUCUGGUCAUAAGCACAAGUGAAGUAAUGUUUAAUGUUUCAUACACGUGUGUGUGUGUGUGUGUGUGUUUUACACACCACGAAAAUGCUUCUUGUACUAAAUCCUGACAGUUUGGGGCGCUGUUGUUUGAUAGCCAGUUUUCAAAUAUUUUUCCUAGAUGGAGACGUCAUAAGAAAGCAUGGCUGUGUUGUUUGGCGGUGUAAGCGCGAGCGCGGUUGUUAUAUGGGUUUGACUGUGCUUUAAUGCUGGAGGGGAUCGUAUCAUGGCCUGGUGAUCACUUAUCGCUGUAAUAUCCUUUUUGUUAUCUCUUAAAAAUAUAUAUAAUAAAAACGAAAAUAGGGCUGUCAAUCGAUCGCGGACAUGCAGACAUGUUCUGUUAUGGUGAUGUGACUGAUAUUGGCUCAGUCACGGAAACAGUCACGGAAACACGGAAACGGAAAUUUACCAAACAUAUUCGGCAGUUUGUGGUUAGUUAGGCUACGUGUUUUAUAUGAUGUGAUAACCUAUGCGAGUAAGGCGUAAGUAAGGCUUACAAAUGGGGAAGCGUAUGUGUUUUUUCUGCUGGCAAAGGGCUGGGCUCUGUUAGCGGGGGUAUGAAGCAGCUACGACAUGUCCAUGUUCUGUAAGUGGAAAUAAAGUGGAAGAGUGUUGUGAUGUUCAUGUUCACAGCGAAAAAUAAGUCCAUGUCUACUUAAUAGCGAUCUCGCAGGUGAAUGGCAGUGAAAGAUUAAAGGUUUUACUCCCGGCGUGUGGUGUGACGUGGGGGGAGUGUAGGUAUUUCAUGCGUCUCUUUGUAAAGGAGCGCGCAUGGCACGUUCAUGUACUGUACACAGACGGGGUCGCGCGCCACAUUUUUCUCAAGCAAUUGGGUGGAGCAAUUGUUUUUCCUACAAUAUGAAGCAAAUACACAAAGAGGCAAUAAAAUGGCAUUCUUCUGCACAUGUGAAUUGAUUGGAGUGCGUUGUGGUAGGCUGGGGUUGCUGAAUUAACCUCCAGGUUACCUGGUAAUGUCAUUACUAUACCAGAAGUAUGACCUGAAGAUUUUGUAAAUAACUUAGUGUGUCUGUUUGUCUGUAUUUUUCUGGAUGUGCCCACUUAAUAAAGCAACAAUUUUUUUGUUCACCACCAACCAUCUUGUUUCCCGAGGAUCCAUUUUAAGUUCAUAUUAAAAUGCAGUGUGAUUGAGUGUACAUUCAGCCAAAAUGGGAUGUUUCAUUUGAAGCAGCUACGGCAUUUACAGCACUGUUUCCAAAACAUUAGAAUAUAUAAUUAUUUGUUUCUUUCUGCCUACAUUAUAAAUGAACAGAAUUAAAACCGGUUACCUCUUGAAAGCAGAAUAUCGUAGCCCACCAUCUUUCAUGCUUUCAUGCAAAUUUUUUUAUUGAUUUUCAUGGAGGCCCACCAUUUUGAAUGGUUGCAGGAGCAUUGUCACACAGACCUUUUGCACCUUGCAGGUUAUGAGCAAGAGGGAGCCGAAUUUGGAAACUGUAUUUCUGCGUCAUACACUAUGCUUAAAAAUUCACAACAAAAAUAGUUUGUUGUUCUGCAGGGUUAGGGUUAUGAGUAGACGUGUUUUGACUGCGCUGUCGUGCAGUCAUAUGCAGAUUGUGGAUUCUAGAACCAGGUUUGUCAGCUGGUAAUCACAAGGUUGCAGCAAUAUGUGAGCCUCCUUAGCCUUAAUGUGGUCAUUGACCCUCUGUACACUCCCAGCAGAGCUGAAACUCGUGACUGAUGUCAAGGAAGUGCCGCUGUUUCUCAAACAGUAGGUGGCACAGCCGGAUACCGCCAGCUCUCUGAAACCUUUCCGGUGGGGUGUACUAUGUGUCAGAAUUUGGGGGGUCUACGGUGGAGGGAUCCGUGAAUUUGUCUUCAACAGGUUUGGAGAAGCAUUUGGCAUUUAUAUACAUUAUGCCACAGUUUGCAAUUGUUUAUUUUAUUGAUCAUUACGGACCAUUAUUGACCAUUAGCUAUAAUGCAAUAGCUGAGUCUAAUGAAAUGCACUACUACUGUUACCUCUUCAGAAAUGAGAAUGUGCAUCUUAAAGAAACCAAAAACCUUUACCCAUCAUGCACAGGCAAUUAACUUAUGACUUUUUUGUUUGUCAAAAGAGGAUUAAGUCAAUCCAGAGUGGGAGACCACUGCCACAUGGCUUGCAGUCAGAGUCUAAUGUUUUUACUAUGAUUACUCCUCAUUGCUCUUCAGAGAUGCCCUUUUACAUUUUUAACAGUCGUGCAUUUCAGAAACCAGGAUGAAAUUAAAUUGGAACAAUUGGAAUUUGGUAAACACCACUAGCAGCUCUUCACUUCUUAGUGAUCAGAAAGAAUUCAAAUGAAAUAUCUGAUUUUACACACUGGUUUCAUGGUUUAUUCUAGCUACUUCCACCUGGCCACCAUUUUAUGGAAUUUUAAGGGAGAACUAUUUUGAGAGGCCUUUUAUUCCUACUGGAAUUUUACAUUUAAAUUCAAAUAAGAACCUGAGCAUUAGGAAGCCUACCAUACUUUGUGUAAUUUAAAUUUUUAACAAAACUGAACCAUAAAGCUUUUGAAUUGAACUGAAGUGAAUUGAGGACCUUUGUUUUCUUGUGGCUGCAUAAAGUCUGGUAAGUGUCAAUUAUGGAUUUAUUUGAUAAAAAAUCUUUUGACUAUUUCCACUGUUUUUUCAUGAGAGCUAUUAAUUACACCAAUUGAUUUUCAGUUAAAAUGGGCCUGCUGAUUCAGCUAAUUGGACUUUUUUUAAUAGCAUUUAAUAAAUUUUGUUUCUUUUCUGUGGUCUGGAAGAUCAGAAAUUAAGAAUGUAAUUUCAUGACAUCAGCAAUGUAAGGCCUGAGCAUGACAUCACUGAUACAUGAUGCUUUGGAUUGUCAUGGGCUGUUUACAGUUGAAGCAGAAUAUUUUCUAAAAGUGAAUCUAAUUAUGCUGCAUUUUUGACUCUGAGUAGAUAAAACUUCUACAGCUGAUUCUCAAUCAAAUGUAUGUGAAUGUCUCUGUCAUUAAUCGCAAUUUUUAAAAGGGGUGAACUGAGAUACAAUGACCCAGCUGAGGUAUGAGUAAAGUGUUCUGUAAAUAUGGCGCUCUCUAUAUUGUAUUAACAGGCUAAUUUAUGUCUGCAUAUUCAAAUGUUAAAUAGGUGCCACAUCCUCAGCAGAACCAAUGUUAUGAAACUCCAAUCUGUCAUUUAAUUUUCUUUCACCUCCCGCCCGGCGGCUGUCUUGGAGAGAAGCUAGCAGACGUUUGCCCAUUUGUUAUAUUGCGGCCAUUAAUUUUCACCUUGUCUUCAUUUCUCUCGCCUUCCCUGCCCUCAGCCAAACAUUUUGCUGAGUCACAGUGAGCGAGGAGUACUAAGUGUAUCUGAAUGCAAACCUUACACUGCUAACCCAUACACCACCACCUUCCCCGAGAGAGAGAGAGAGAGAGAGAGAUUGUUUGUGUGGUUGUGUGUGUGUGUGUGUGAGAGAGAGAGGGUUUCGAGAGUGUGUAUGUUUGUAGUGAGUGGUUGUGUGUGUGUGUGUGAGAGAGAGAGACAGGGUUUUGAUAGUGUGUAUGUGUGUGGUGAGAGGUUGUGUGUUGCUGUGAGCAUGUAUGUGUGUGUGAGAGAGAGAGAUGGUUCAUUUGUAGGCAUUUAUGUGGCAGUUGUAGCAUUGCUUCUGAUUUGGGUUUAUUUGUUUUACAGCAAAAUCAAUCUAUAUUCAUUAGCUCAAGCAGAAUGCUCUCCGACACAGAUCAAACAAUGUUUGUAAAGAUUUUUCACGCAUAUCUGCCCCAUAAAAUCUGGAUGGUGCAGUAGCAGCUGCUUGGGAGGAAAAACAGCUCAUUUCCUCUACAGCUUCAGUGUCAGUUACUGUAUUUACACAUAAAG